CGGAGGACUGAGAAGGUUGAACAGCUUGCACCAUGCUGUUGUAACAGGUUACGCCUCCAAGAGUAAUUAACAAACUGCACAUUUAUGUCACUCUGAUGGAAGCGGGGCUGAUGUGUGCGUUUG
ensembl:snoRNA